rnacentral:rRNA from 1 species
GACGGAGGAUGCAAGCGUUAUCCGGAAUGAUUGGGCGUAAAGCGUCCGCAGGUGGCAGUUCAAGUCUGCUGUCAAAGACCGGGGCUUAACUUCGGAAAGGCAGUGGAAACUGAACAGCUAGAGUAUGGUAGGGGCAGAGGGAAUUCCUGGUGUAGCGGUGAAAUGCGUAGAGAUCAGGAAGAACAUCCGGGGCGAAGGCGGUCUGCUGGGCCAUAACUGACACUCAGGGACGAAAGCUAGGGGAGCGAAUGGG